rnacentral:lncRNA from 1 species
CUUCUACCCGGGGGCUUCAGUGCAUCUGGCUUUAUCUCUGGGGUGCUUCCAUACAAAGGGGACAGAAGAAACGAUGGAAGGCCUCAGCACUGCAGGAGGGGAGACGGAUGUCAUCUACAAUCACACAAUACAUGGGAGGUCACAGGGUCUCAGGCCGGGUGCAGUGGCUCACGCCUCUACUCUCAGCACUUUGGGAGGCCGAGGUCUACAACAUCCAGAGCAGCCACAUUGCAAGUGCUCAGUAGCCACAUGUGGCCAGCACACAUGGCCCAUGGCAACUGUGCUGGACACGAACGCCAGGGUGACGUAACAGUUCAAACCAUGGAAAGGUAACAGAGCCCUUGGCACGUCUCAACAUGUGGUGACACAGCUAAUAACCUGUGAUGCACACAUGGGAGCAAAUGCAUAGAAAAACUUGUCAAUGACACGGCAAAGUAAAACCCAAAUGAAGCCAGGUGAAAGAAUGGGCUGCAGCGCAGGCAAAACUGCACCACGUUACAGACUGCUCGCCUGGGAUGGAACGGUGGGGAGGUGCGCAGACGGAUGGACAAGCGCCUGGCAAAAUGGAUUUGGUUUCCUAGACCGCUAAUGCAACCAACAGUUCCCUCCUCACAGGGUCGCUAUAACGAGGUAACAUAAACAGCACUUAGAAGACGGCCUGACCCAGAAUAACACUAAUGUUCAUAUGGCUGCGACUCUCAGACCAAAAUCAAUGGCCGGUAUCUACUGAAACUUCAGCAAGACGAAACCACG